AACGCACAUUGCGCCCCUCGGUCUUCCGGGGGGCAUGCCUGUCCGAGCGUCAUUUCACCCCUCAAGCUCUGCUUGGUUAUAGGUCUCGCCUCUGUGGGCGUACCCGAAAUGUAGCGAGCGGUCCCGGGAGACCUUGAACGUAGUAAAAUCAUCCCGUUCUGAAGGCUCUCACGGCGGCUAGCCACAACCUCAAAAUUUCUGACGGUUGACCUCGGAUCAGGUAGGGAUACCCGCUGAACUUAA
rnacentral:misc_RNA from 1 species